rnacentral:pre_miRNA from 1 species
CUAAUGUAACUAAUUAGCUAGCUCGCUCUCUCUCUCGAUCGAUCGAUCGAUCGAGAGAGAGAGAGAGAGCGAGCUAGCUAAUUAGUUACAUUAGC